GACAGAGGAUGCAAGCGUUAUCCGGAAUGAUUGGGCGUAAAGCGUCUGUAGGUGGUUUUUUAAGUCUGCGGUUAAAGCGUGUAGCUUAACUACAUAACAGCCGUGGAAACUGAAAGACUAGAGGCAAGUAGGGGUAGAGGGAAUUCCCAGUGUAGCGGUGAAAUGCGUAGAGAUUGGGAAGAACACCGGUGGCGAAAGCGCUCUACUGGACUUGAACUGACACUGAGGGACGAAAGCUAGGGGAGCGAAAGGG
rnacentral:rRNA from 1 species